rnacentral:rRNA from 1 species
UACAGAGGGUGCGAGCGUUAAUCGGAAUUACUGGGCGUAAAGCGUGCGUAGACGGUUACAUAAGUCGGGUGUGAAAGCCCCGGGCUCAACCUGGGAAUUGCAUUCGAGACUGCGUAGCUAGGGUGCGGAAGAGGGAAGCGGAAUUUCCGGUGUAGCGGUGAAAUGCGUAGAUAUCAGGAGGAACACCGGUGGCGAAGGCGGCUACCUGGACAGAAACUGACGCUGAGGCACGAAAGCUAGGGGAGCAAACAGG